UACGUAGGUGGCAAGCGUUAUCCGGAUUUAUUGGGCGUAAAGCGAGCGCAGGCGGUUGCUUAGGUCUGAUGUGAAAGCCUUCGGCUUAACCGAAGAAGUGCAUCGGAAACCGGGCAACUUGAGUACAGUAGAGGUGGGCGGAAUUCGUGGUGUAGCGGUGAAAUGCUUAGAUAUCACGAAGAACUCCGAUUGCGAAGGCAGCUCACUGGACUGCAACUGACACUGAGGCUCGAAAGCAUGGGUAGCGAACAGG
rnacentral:rRNA from 1 species